UCAAAGAUUAAGCCAUGCAUGUCUAAGUAUAAGCAUUAUACGGUGAAACUGCGAAUGGCUCAUUAAAUCAGUUAUCGUUUAUUUGAUAGUCCCUGCUAAUUGGCAUACGCCUGGCAAUUCUAGAGCUAAUACAUGCUACACGGCCCGACCUCUGGAAGGGCUGUAUUUAUUAGAUAAAAAAUCAACAUUUACGGAUGAUUCAUAAUAACUUGUCGAAUCGCAAGGCUUCGAGCCGGCGAUGGUUCAUUCAAAUUUCUGCCCUAUCAACUUUCGAUGGUAGGAUAGGGGCCUACCAUGGUUUCAACGGGUAACGGGGAAUAAGGGUUCGGUUCCGGAGAGGGAGCCUGAGAAACGGCUACCACAUCCAAGGAAGGCAGCAGGCGCGCAAAUUACCCAAUCCCGACACGGGGAGGUAGUGACAAUAAAUAACGAUACAGGGCCCUUAUGGGUCUUGUAAUUGGAAUGAGUACAAUGUAAAUACCUUAACGAGGAACAAUUGGAGGGCAAGUCUGGUGCCAGCAGCCGCGGUAAUUCCAGCUCCAAGAGCGUAUAUUAAAGUUGUUGCAGUUAAAAAGCUCGUAGUUGAACUUUGGCACGAUACCCUGGUCGUCCGCAAGGACCGCACUAGCGGUGUUGUGCCCUCCUCGCCUUGUGGUUCUACUGCAGGGCGACGAUUACUUUGAGUAAAUGAGAGUGUUCAAAGCAGGCGCAUGCCUGAAUCUGUUAGCAUGGAAUAAUAAAAUAGGACGCAUGGUUCUAUUUUGUUGGUUUCUAGGACCAUCGUAAUGAUUAAUAGGGACGGUCGGGGGCAUCAGUAUUCAGUUGUCAGAGGUGAAAUUCUUGGAUUUACUGAAGACUAACUACUGCGAAAGCAUUUGCCAAGGACGUUUUCAUUAAUCAAGAACGAAAGUUAGGGGAUCGAAGAUGAUCAGAUACCGUCGUAGUCUUAACCAUAAACUAUGCCGACUAGGGAUCGGGCGGCGUUCACUAUAUCGACGCGCUCGGCACCUUACGAGAAAUCAAAGUUUUUGGGUUCUGGGGGGAGUAUGGUCGCAAGGCUGAAACUUAAAGGAAUUGACGGAAGGGCACCACCAGGAGUGGAGCCUGCGGCUUAAUUUGACUCAACACGGGGAAACUCACCAGGUCCAGACACAAUAAGGAUUGACAGAUUGAGAGCUCUUUCUUGAUUUUGUGGGUGGUGGUGCAUGGCCGUUCUUAGUUGGUGGAGUGAUUUGUCUGCUUAAUUGCGAUAACGAACGAGACCUUAACCCUUAACUAGGCCCGCUACCCCGUUGUGGGUGGUUGCUGGGGUCUUCUUAUGGGGACUAUUGACUUGAAGUCGAUGGAAGUUUGAGGCAAUAACAGGUCUGUGAUGCCCUUAGACGUUCUGGGCCGCACGCGCGCUACACUGACGGAGCCAGCGAGUUGACCUUGGCCGAGAGGCCUGGGAAAUCUUGGGAAACUCCGUCGUGCUGGGGAUAGAGCAUUGCAAUUUUUGCUCUUGAACGAGGAAUUCCUAGUAAGCGCAAGUCACCAACUUGCGUUGAUUACGUCCCUGCCCUUUGUACACACCGCCCGUCGCUACUACCGAUUGAAUGGCUUAGUGAGGCCUCCGGACUUGCCGAGGAGAGGGCAACCUUUCUGUGGGCGAGGAAGCUGGUCAAACUUGGUCAUUUAGAGGAAGUAAAAGUCGUAACA
rnacentral:rRNA from 1 species